AUUGAACGCUGGCGGCAGGCCUAACACAUGCAAGUCGAACGGUAACAGGAAGCAGCCUGCUGCUUCGCUGACGAGUGGCGGACGGGUGAGUAAUGUCUGGGAAACUGCCUGAUGGAGGGGGAUAACUACUGGAAACGGUAGCUAAUACCGCAUAACGUCGCAAGACCAAAGAGGGGGACCUUCGGGCCUCUUGCCAUCGGAUGUGCCCAGAUGGGAUUAGCUAGUAGGUGGGGUAACGGCUCACCUAGGCGACGAUCCCUAGCUGGUCUGGGAGGAUGACCAGCCACACUGGAACUGAGACACGGUCCAGACUCCUACGGGAGGCAGCAGUGGGGAAUAUUGCACAAUGGGCGCAAGCCUGAUGCAGCCAUGCCGCGUGUAUGAAGAAGGCCUUCGGGUUGUAAAGUACUUUCAGCGGGGAGGAAGGCGAUAAGGUUAAUAACCUUGUCGAUUGACGUUACCCGCAGAAGAAGCACCGGCAAACUCCGUGCCAGCAGCCGCCGUAA
rnacentral:rRNA from 1 species